AGCGAACGCUGGCGGCAGGCUUAACACAUGCAAGUCGAGCGGGCCCUUCGGGGUCAGCGGCAGACGGGUGAGUAACGCGUGGGAACGUGCCCUUCGGUUCGGAAUAACUCAGGGAAACUUGAGCUAAUACCGGAUACGCCCUUAUGGGGAAUGGUUUACUGCCGAAGGAUCGGCCCGCGUCUGAUUAGCUAGUUGGUGAGGUUAUGGCUCACCAAGGCGACGAUCAGUAGCUGGUCUGAGAGGAUGAUCAGCCACACUGGGACUGAGACACGGCCCAGACUCCUACGGGAGGCAGCAGUGGGGAAUAUUGGACAAUGGGGGCAACCCUGAUCCAGCCAUGCCGCGUGAGUGAUGACGGCCUUAGGGUUGUAAAGCUCUUUUCCCCGGGACGAUAAUGACGGUACCGGAGGAAUAAGCCCCGGCUAACUUCGUG
rnacentral:rRNA from 1 species